AGUCAGGCAAUGAGGCCGACUCGUGGUGAGGUGACCCCUCAGGUGAAGAACCGCAGGCAGGAGCGGGUCACACACCGGUAUCUGCCUCGCUGCUUCCCACGGCAUCAGGCCAGCAGGAGGAGGGAGUGCCAGCUUCCCUUGCAGCUGCAGAGCCCAGGGAGAAAGAGCAAGCGCCCUACCACAAAAAUAUCUCUUAAAAAGAAGACCUGGAAAGGUGGCAUCCAGUGAGCUGCUGAUUUGAACUGUGCGAGUCCUUAGCAUCUUCACGUGACCUGCCAGAAGAGUAAGCACCGCUGGGAGCGUCUGAGGGGCUGUCGCCCCAGACCCUGCUGUCCCCACACGUUCAGAUGGAGACCCAACCUGACAAAGGCCAGUGGACUGGAUUGACCGAUUGCAAAAUCUGCCUCAGCUUUUGGAAUUCUGAGGUUGGCUUUAAAAGGAGUUAACUUGGGACCAGCAGGUGGCAUGGUGGUUAAGGCACUGGACACUUCCACAUGGCCGACA